UGGGGAAUCUUGCGCAAUGGGCGAAAGCCUGACGCAGCGACGCCGCGUGAGUUAUGAAGGCCUUCGGGUUGUAAAGCUCUGUGGGGAGAGACGAAUAAGCUUUGGCUAAUAUCCAGGGUGAUGACGGUAUCUCCUUAGCAAGCACCGGCUAACUCUGUGCCAGCAGCCGCGGUAAGACAGAUGGUGCAAACGUUGUUCGGAAUUACUGGGCGUAAAGCGCAUGUAGGCGGCCUAGCAGGUCGUAUGUGAAAGCCCUCGGCUCAACCGAGGAAGUGCAUUCGAAACCGGAAGGCUUGAGUCACGGAGAGGGUAGUGGAAUUCUAGGUGUAGAGGUGAAACUCGUAGAUAUAGAGAGGAACACCGGUGGAGAAAGCGACUAACUGGACGAGGACUGACGAUGAGGUGCGAAAGCGUGGGGAGCAAACA
rnacentral:rRNA from 1 species